GAUGAACGCUGGCGGCGUGCCUAAUACAUGCAAGUCGAGCGAACAGACGAGGAGCUUGCUCCUCUGACGUUAGCGGCGGACGGGUGAGUAACACGUGGAUAACCUGCCUAUAAGACUGGGAUAACUUCGGGAAACCGGAGCUAAUACCGGAUAAUAUAUUGAACCGCAUGGUUCAAUAGUGAAAGACGGUUUUGCUGUCACUUAUAGAUGGAUCCGCGCCGCAUUAGCUAGUUGGUAAGGUAACGGCUUACCAAGGCAACGAUGCGUAGCCGACCUGAGAGGGUGAUCGGCCACACUGGAACUGAGACACGGUCCAGACUCCUACGGGAGGCAGCAGUAGGGAAUCUUCCGCAAUGGGCGAAAGCCUGACGGAGCAACGCCGCGUGAAUGAUGAAGGUCUUCGGAUCGUAAAACUCUGUUAUUAGGGAAGAACAAAUGUGUAAGUAACUAUGCACGUCUUGACGGUACCUAAUCAGAAAGCCACGGCUAACUACGUG
rnacentral:rRNA from 1 species